UGGGAGAAUGGUAGCCCUUUGAGGGAUGU
rnacentral:piRNA from 1 species